GAUGAGAACGCAGCGAAAUGCGAUAAGUAGUGUGAAUUGCAGAAUUCAGUGAAUCAUCGAAUCUUUGAACGCACAUUGCGCCCCUUGGUAUCCCGAGGGGCAUGCCUGUUCGAGCGUCAUUUCACCACUCAAGCCUGGCUUGGUGUUGGGCGACGUCCUCUUUGGGGACGCGCCUCGAAACGCUCGGCGGCGUGGCACCGGCUUUAAGCGUAGCAGAAUCUUUCGCUUUGGAAGUCGGGGCCCCGUCUGCCGGAAGACCUGCUCGCAAGGUUGACCUCGGAUCAGGCAGGGAUACCCGCUGAACUUAAGCAUAUCAAUAAGCGGAGGA
rnacentral:misc_RNA from 1 species